rnacentral:rRNA from 1 species
UACGUAGGGGGCAAGCGUUGUCCGGAUUUAUUGGGCGUAAAGAGCGUGUAGGCGGCCUUACAGGUCAGCUGUGAAAACUCGAGGCUCAACCUCGAGACGUCGGUUGAAACCGUAUGGCUAGAGUCCGGAAGAGGAGAGUGGAAUUCCUGGUGUAGCGGUGAAAUGCGCAGAUAUCAGGAAGAACACCAAUGGCGAAGGCAGCUCUCUGGGACGGUACUGACACUGAGACGCGAAAAGCGUGGGGGAGCGAACAGG